AUAGGAUAUAUUAAAUAGGAUAUAUUAUCUAAAGUAAACAGGCUUUUAAGCCUUCAAUUUGCCCCAAUUGACAUGAAGUGCGCAUUUCGAAAAGCCAGUGAACGCAGCGUCAUACGGGCACCCCCACCCCAAUCCACCGGAAACCCCCCCGGAUGAACCCGCAGGAAGGCGCGCGGCUGAAGAACUCUUGGACAGCUGGAAGGCCGCAGGAUCACGGUGAAGGCCUCUUCUGUAUAGAGGACGGGGGCGGAAACGUCACGUGGUCUCCGCAGAGACUGGUCAGUUAUUUGGAGACAACAUGUACAAAUAGUUCCUGGACUGAUCUUCUGCUAACUUUGAGGUGGAGAGGCUGUCAGGUUCAUCUGUUUCAGGGUCCUGCAUGCUCUCCCUCCAUGUUUGCCGUAGCAGUGGAUGGAACUUGCAAAAUGUACUGUUUUGAGAGCCAACUGGGGCUCAGUGGUUAUUUUGAAGAUGCGUUUCUGACCAAAAACACUGUGGAGACCUCCUUUGUGAACUGCAUUCAUGGGGAAAUAGAAAAUAAUCCUGGAGAUGGGAGAUGUGGAGCAGGAAAGUUUGUGGCAGCACCAGAGUCCUCCAAAAAGUCUUCUGGCAAAGUAAAUGAGGAAGGAUCGCAGUCUACCGUCGUGGAGUUUUGCUGAAAGGACUGAACAUGUUCCAUCCAUCCAUCCAUCUUCUUCCAUUCAUUCAGAACCAGGUUGUGAGGGCAGCAGUCUUAGCAAAGAUGCCCACACUUCCCUCUCCUCCAGCUCCUCUUGGGGGACCCCGGGGCCAGCUGAGAGACGUAGUCUCCCCAGCGUGUCCUGGGUCUCCCUUAGGGCCUCUGCCCAGUGAGACAUGCAUGGAAACCCCCCCCCCGGGAGGCGUCCUCCUCUGGAUGUAGAGAGGAAGUGGCUCCACUCAGAGCUCUCUCCAGGUGAGCGAGCUUCCUGAACCUGUUCCGUUGAGAUAUUUUCAUGAACCCCUUCUAUUUGCAGAAACGGCUUUCUCCACAGACCGUGCAGUUCUUCUGCUCUGAUGUAGUCUACGAGUUCUGAUCGCAUUUGGAGAAGGUUGUGGUUCUGUGUCCUGAGAUGCAGGACCUGUUGAACAUGUGUCCUUUUCAAGUUCACUCUUGGAUGUGUGAGUUUGCAAACAUACAUUUUGGUUGAAAUGAUGAGGAUCCGAGGAUGAAAUCAAGAAGGGACAACAUCAGGGAAAGGGACUGAACCGACUGAACAGCUUCCUCUCUUCAGCAGACACAUGUGUACAUAUGUGUCAAAUAUUGACAUCCUCGCCGUUCAGGCCGGUGGCUGGAACAAGCAGAAGUCAGAAAAGCUGGAGCAGACGUUACCAGAAUGAUACCUCCAGGACCAAUCAAAAUGACCCAGAGAAAAACACUGAAGGGCUUUGUCUGAGCAUCAGGAAAACAAGAAUCAGCAUAUGGUUAUGGUGCCAUGGUAAAGAACUAAAGGCUCUAUGAUGUCAUGCUGCUGACCAGACUGUGGUUGGUGAAGUCCAGCAGCACUGCGGGUCCUUGAAGUGUGGUUGAAGAGCUCUCCUCCAGCUUUUGGAAGGCAGCACAGAGGCAUUGAUGGAGAGAGGACGUGAAGGACUAAUUGUCUGCUGAGGAGGAGACUUUCUGCAGUUCAAGCCCCAGCUCCACCCCUAAAAAAAGGCUUAUAUGAAGGAAAACCUCAUUUCAUUUUUGUACCAAUAAAUGACUUUUAAUUGAAAUGAGAGAUUUUUUUCUGCACCGCACCAAUGAAGGGUUUUUCAACCUAAAUUUCAACAAUUACAUUGUUUUUUACCUCCGUUCAAGUUUCUACAACACUAGCUAAACAUUUCAGUGCUCACACCUGUGCUGAAGACACUUCUCAUUUUAACUCAAACGUUUGGCCUUUGAUUUGUAUGUCCAACACCUUAGAAUGAAACACUGACCUAUUAAACUCAUAUAAUAAAUGUGCUAUGCAUCUCCAAAUCCUUUGUCAGGGUACAGACUACAUUUUAAUUGUAGCAAGACUGAAGUAAAAUGUAGCAAAAUGACAAUGAGUUAUCUUAAAUUAGGGGUAAAUGACAUGAGAAAUUAAGAAUAUUAGAAGUGUGGAGUGAUACGUGUAUUUAUCAGUAUGUUAGCUGCAGGAAGGGUGCUGUCCUUGACACGUUCCUUUACUCAGACAGGAUGACAGGUAGGGAAGGGGGUAGCCGAUGAUCUGCUCCAGUAUCUUCAGCACAGAAGCUUCUACUGCUCUUCUUCAGUUUGAUCUGAGAGCCAGACCAUGAUACAGUUGGACUGGCUGAGCGGUAGGUUGCCAGCAGCUUCAGACGUGCUGAUGUGCCUUGUUGAUAACGUCCUGGAUGUUAGGAAACCAAGUUAGAUCAGCUGAGAUGGGGAUGCCCAGGAAAGGGAAGCUGUGAACCCUCCUCUAUGCCUACUAAAGUCCAAGAUGACUUUCAUGGUCUUUUAUUUGCCGAUCAGCCUUACACUAUACAGUUUCCGCACUUGUCUACAAAGUUCACCUCAGUGACCUUUAAUAAGUCUUUGUUAUUGGCAAGUUAAUUACUUAUAUCCAAGACAUGGAGAUGUGGGUCCAGUAUGAGCAGGAUUUGGGAAAUGGCAGUUGCCAAGAACUCACAUGAAGUUUCAAGGUUUUUGCCUUUAUUUGGAGGAAAAAAAGUUUUUGUCCUUUGUUUGUUGUGCAGAAUUGCAAACCUAGAAAGAAAUCAAGUUGAAAGAAUUUAUAUAAAUGUAUUUGCCCUUCUUUUGACCCUUCUACAUCAUGAAUAUUUGGUGGCUGUUGCUUGGCGACUGUGAGAUCUCUCCAUAGGAUUGACAUGGGCUGGGCCUCUCCAUGACCUUGAUAUGAUUGUUCUUCAGCCAUUCCUUGGUUGCCUUGGCUGUAGGUUCUAGGUCACUAACCUGUUGGAAGACCCAUUCAUGACUGAUUUGAAGGGUCCUGGCUUAAGGAGGGUAGGAAGUUCUCACUCAGGAUUUUCCAUUAAUGGCUCCAUCAACGUGGUGACGUAGCUCUGUGCAGAAAAAUAGCCACAAAGCAUAAUGCUUCCACCUCCAUGUUUGACAGUGGGGAAGCUGUUCUUGGGGUCAUAGGUAGCAAUUCUCUUCCUCCAAACCCAAUGGUUGAGUUGAUGCCAAAGAGCUCAGUUCUGAGCCAAACAUUCCAUUAUGCAGAAUAAACUGAUAAAGCAAACCCUAUUUUUCAGUGUGUGAUUUUCAUUUUUUCAUAAAUCUUAGGACAAUUUAGAUGAUAAAAGUAACAAAUAAAUGAAAACAGUAUAAUACAGCAAAUAUGUAAAUAUUUGAUGUGAUGAACAAUGCUUAUCUGAUUUAGACCCAACAUGAAAUAUUUUUUGACACACACACAUCAAGUUGUGUUAUUUAAUGCUCGUAAUUUAGACACAAAUGAUAGAAAUGUUAGGUUUAUAUGCCAAAGAUAUGCCAUGUGAAAAUUUUAGUGCAAAUACGCAUGCGUGCGCGCCGUGCACAUAAAGCCACCCCACCCCCACGUAUCCGCGCGCCGGUCGGUGGGUGCUGGGCGUCAAUAAAGGUAAUCUGGUUGUCGCGCGUUCUGCAUCUCUGCACGAGCUAAAGAAGUCUCAAAGAUGAAUGCCGCUGUUGUUAUCACUGUAGAGCGGGGCUGAAAAAUACGGCCUCCAUCGAGAGACUGAACGUAACACGACUGCAGCUGAAUCUGCCACGAGGCUCGACAACGUCUUCCAUCAACUGCAAAGCGGUGAUUGCUGUGGCCGCCAAAACAUCCAAAUGUCAGGCGGGCUACAAAGAUUUCAGGCCAAAAGAGAACGCCUCACAUGUGAUGAAGUGUCUGUAUUGGUGCCCUAAGUUCCCUGAUCAAGCAGAAACGUGCUUUGACUGGAUGAAGGCCUUGUAUCAGGUUGGAAAAACCAGCAGCCUUCCAGUGCUUCAGCCGUCCAACCAUCAACCGUUUCAGACAUCCAUCCUCCCACCACUUCAGCCCCACAGCCGUCCACCAGUGUGCCAACUUCGGACAUUUUACUAUCCUGGUACAAUCUUAUUUUUCUGCACAGUUAGCAAAAAUGAUAUGUUUUUUAGAUAUUCCUGUGUUUUUUAUCCUCAACAAAUGUUUCUCCAAAGAAAUAUGAAAAUACAGAAUAAUUCAUCUGGUGGUUAUUUUUACUCUUUUCCUCAAAUCUUUAAUAAGAAAAAAAUAAUUCAGUUCAAGUUUACUUGUGCUUCUCUUUUUAAUGGGCAUUACAGUUGAUAUAAAACAUAUAACAUGCAAUUAAAAUGUUUUGUAGUUAAAAACAUUUUACACACUAUUAAAAGAUUCUAUAAAAUAUUAUUUAAAUAAAAAAGGAUUCCUUUCCAAGAAAAUGUUGACUACCGUAUAUCUUACAAUAGUAGCCCUGGCGUUUAUUCCAUCACAGACAGAACAGUGAUGGUUAAUGGGUUUAUUUUGCAGCAAAAUUUCAUCAAGAAAUGCAGACAAACACCAGCAGAUGAACAUUUCAGGAUUUAUUCAAAUGAUGAGAAUAUUGGAUUGUGUUCUGAUCAGCACUGGCUGUUGACGUUUCUUUUCUCCUUGAAGCAUCAGCCUCCGUAUCAAAAAUCAUCUUGGUUGUCAUGAGGAUCUCUUUCCUGGAGACACGCCCACCUUUCCGUCUUUGUGCAAUAAUUCAUGUUCAAACCAGUUCUUCUAAUUUGUCGCUUUUCUUUGCAUUUCCACCAGUAAAAAGUAAUACGACAAAAUACUUGCAGAAUUUGUAAAGAUUUGGAUUUUGUAUUAUUAAUUUGCCUUUUUUAGUCUUUUAUUAUAAAAUAACUAUGCAUUAUUACUUUAUUUUAACUAACACAUUUAUCUUAGUUUACAGUAGUCCUCUUAAACAUCUCUUAAACAAGUUUACACUUUUCAUCUUUCAGAAUGCAGCCGUGUGAUUGGAGGAAAAGAUUAAUAUGCAAUGAGGACAUUUAAAGAAAAAAGGAGCAGUUUUUAUUUUACAUUAUUACUAUUUUAAAGUAGAACUCUAAUGUAUAUAAAUGCUUUUUUAUUAAUUUGUUUGGCAUAUUUACUGUGUUAGAGUUCUGAUGAUUGUUUUGAGUGGUAAACGUUUUUAUUUUAUUUAUGAAACCCAGAUGGAGUUAAUGGAGUGCUCGUCAUGUUUUAUGCUGUAUAUAUUAUUAAUGAAUUUAUUUAUUUAUUUUGAAGUGCCUAUUUGCAAGUAAAGAAGGCGGGGUUAUGGUUAAAAUACGUACGGACAAUCCAGCAACGUGCCUCUUCAACAUGAAUUUCCAUCAGUUUUUUUGCUUGGUCGCAAAUAAAUAAGUCCAAAUAAUAAUCAGCCUAAUUUGUUUUUUUGUUUAUUUAAAAUUAUAUUAAUAUUUUCUAAUUUU